rnacentral:rRNA from 1 species
UACGGAGGAUCCAAGCGUUAUCCGGAUUUAUUGGGUUUAAAGGGUGCGUAGGCGGUCGUAUAAGUUAGAGGGGAAAUCCCGUGGCUCAACCACGGAACUGCCUCUGAUACUGUAUGACUAGAGAAUGGUUGCUGUGGGCGGAAUGUGUGGUGUAGCGGUGAAAUGCUUAGAGAUCACACAGAACACCGAUUGCGAAGGCAGCUCACAAAGCCAUAUCUGACGCUGAGGCACGAAAGCGUGGGGAGCAAACAGG